GGCAUCCUGCUCCCUUCGAAGCCUUGCGUUCCUACGCGAGGGGUUGAUGUAGAAGAAGCGGGAUGCU
rnacentral:sRNA from 12 species